rnacentral:pre_miRNA from 1 species
UUGUGCUUGAUCUAACCAUGCAGUGUGUCUUCUGUUCAUGGUUAUGCCAAGCACCUUG